CGACUAGUACACAUCGCAGUUUUCGCAGUACGUCUCCUCCUGGGGAUACUCUCCCACCCGUGACGACAAUAUAAUCGGACCGAUUGACAGGUAAUGGUUCAGUCUUGCUUCGACUUUCGACUAGUACACAUCGCAGUUUUCGCAGUACGUCUCCUCCUGGGGAUACUCUCCCACCCGUGACGACAAUAUAAUCGGACCGAUUGACAGGUAAUGGUUCAGUCUUGCUUCGACUUUCGACUAGUACACAUCGCAGUUUUCGCAGUACGUCUCCUCCUGGGGAUACUCUCCCACCCGUGACGACAAUAUAAUCGGACCGAUUGACAGGUAAUGGUUCAGUCUUGCUUCGAAUUUCGACUAGUACACAUCGCAGUUUUCGCAGUACGUGUCCUCCGUAAGUAAUAACAAAGAGUCAAUGUAAAUAUAUUAUUCUAUCACUCAUUCUUUCAAUAUCCUAUGCUAAUUAUUUUAUUUUAAA